AGAGAGAGACAUGCGCGCAUAUCAAUAAGCGGAGGAAAAGAAACUAACUAGGAUUCCCUCAGUAACGGCGAGUGAAGCGGGAAGAGCUCAAAUUUGAAAUCUUCAAGGUUCUACCUUGACGAAUUGUAGUUUAAAGAAGUGUUUUCUGUUGGAGUUUUGGUAAAAGUUCUUUGGAAUAGGACAUCAUAGAGGGUGAGAAUCCCGUAUUUGACCAUUAUUUCCAGCUUUGUGAUACACUUUCAAAGAGUCGGAUUGUUUGGGAAUGCAGUCCAAAAUGGGUGGUAAAUUUCAUCUAAAGCUAAAUAUUGGCGAGAGACCGAUAGCGAACAAGUACCGUGAGGGAAAGAUGAAAAGAACUUUGAAAAGAGAGUUAAACAGUACGUGAAAUUGUCAAAAGGGAAGGCGUUUGACACCAGUGUUGUUUUCUCGAAAAUCAAUUAAAAAAGGGCAGGAUUUUGUGUUGUAUUGACUUUAUCAGCUUUCUGCACUCUUUUCUUGUCUUUUUUAAUGCACUUUUCGUUUAACAAGUCAACAUCAAUUUCUUUUGUUGUAAAAGGGUCAUUGGAAGGUGGCUUUCUUUUCGGAGAAAGUGUUUAUAGCCUUUGGCCUCUGCAAUCGGAGAGAUUGAGGUCUGCAGCGUAGAUCCUUCGGGGUUAGAUACAUUUGUGCUAAGUUAUAGCCUUUCAUAGACAACUUGUUGACUAUGAUCAGUCAUGUAGCUUACUCGCUUAUGCUAUUUUACCUACGCUUAGGAUGUUGAUGUGAUACUGCGAGCA
rnacentral:rRNA from 1 species